rnacentral:rRNA from 1 species
CCUACGGGAGGCAGCAGUGGGGAAUAUUGGACAAUGGGGGCAACCCUGAUCCAGCAAUGCCGCGUGAGUGAUGAAGGCCUUAGGGUUGUAAAGCUCUUUUGCCAGGGAGGCGGUACCUGGAGAAUAAGCCCCGGCUAACUUCGUGCCAGCAGCCGCGGUAAUACGAAGGGGGCGAGCGUUGUUCGGAAUUACUGGGCGUAAAGGGCGCGUAGGCGGCGAACCAAGUCAGAUGUGAAAGUCCUGGGCUUAACCUGGGGACUGCAUUUGAUACUGGUUUGCUUGAAUUCGGGAGAGGAUAGCGGAAUUCCCAGUGUAGAGGUGAAAUUCGUAGAUAUUGGGAAGAACACCGGUGGCGAAGGCGGCUAUCUGGACCGAAUUGACGCUGAGGCGCGAAAGCGUGGGGAGCAAACAGGAUUAGAUACCCUUGUAGUC